rnacentral:rRNA from 1 species
AUUGAACGCUGGCGGCAGGCCUAACACAUGCAAGUCGAGCGGAUGAAGGGAGCUUGCUCCUGGAUUCAGCGGCGGACGGGUGAGUAAUGCCUAUGAAUCUGCCUGGUAGUGGGGGAUAACGUCCGGAAACGGGCGCUAAUACCGCAUACGUCCUGAGGGAGAAAGUGGGGGAUCUUCGGACCUCACGCUAUCAGAUGAGCCUAGGUCGGAUUAGCUAGUUGGUGGGGUAAAGGCCUACCAAGGCGACGAUCCGUAACUGGUCUGAGAGGAUGAUCAGUCACACUGGAACUGAGACACGGUCCAGACUCCUACGGGCGGCAGCAGUGGGGAAUAUUGGACGCUGGGCGAAAGCCUGAUCCAGCCAUGCCGCGUGUGUGAAGAAGGUCUUCGGAUUGUAAAGCACUUUAAGUUGGGAGGAACGGCAGUAAGUUAAUCCCUUGCUGUUUUGACGUUACCAACAGAAUAAGCACCGGCUAACUUCGUG